AACGAACGCUGGCGGCGUGCCUAACACAUGCAAGUCGAACGUGAAAGUCCUUCGGGGCGAGUAAAGUGGCGCACGGGUGAGUAACGCGUAGAUAAUCUGCCUGAUGAUCUGGGAUAACAUCUCGAAAGGGGUGCUAAUACCGGAUAAGCCCACGGAGGCUUCGGAUUCUGCGGGAAAAGGGGGGGACCUUCGGGCCUUCUGUCAUCCGAUGAGUCUGCGUACCAUUAGCUAGUUGGUAGGGUAAAAGCCUACCAAGGCGACGAUGGUUAGCUGGUCUGAGAGGAUGAGCAGCCACACUGGAACUGAGACACGGUCCAGACUCCUACGGGAGGCAGCAGUGGAGAAUUUUGCGCAAUGGGGGAAACCCUGACGCAGCAACGCCGCGUGAGUGAUGAAGGCCUUCGGGUCGUAAAGCUCUGUCAGAGGGAAAGAAAUGUAUUGUGGCUAAUAUCCACGAUACUUGACGGUACCCUCAAAGGAAGCACCGGCUAACUCCGUGCCAGCCGCCGCGGUAA
rnacentral:rRNA from 1 species